UACAGAGGUGGCAAGCGUUGUUCGGAAUUACUGGGCGUAAAGGGCGCGUAGGCGGUUUUGUAAGUCCCGCGUGAAAUCCCCCGGCUCAACUGGGGAACUGCGUGGGAAACUGCGAGGCUUGAGUUCGGGAGAGGGAAGCGGAAUUCCGGGUGUAGCGGUGAAAUGCGUAGAUAUCCGGAGGAACACCGGUGGCGAAGGCGGCCUGCUGGGCAGUGGCUGACGCUGAGGCGCGACAGCGUGGGGAGCAAACAGG
rnacentral:rRNA from 1 species